rnacentral:rRNA from 1 species
ACGCACAUUGCGGUCCACGGAUCUCGUUCCCGGACCACGCCUGGCUGAGGGUCGUUUAUAAAAACUAACCCGACUGCUCGCUUCGCGCGUGUAAGCGCGCGAGGAGAGAGCGUUUGUCUGGGCGCUCGUCUCGAUCGACACGGAGAGAGACAGAGGGGGGCUCGCUCUCCCUCUGUAGCGCCGAGUCUGUAUCGCGAGACGUCGCCUCAAACGACACGCAAGAUGAAACAAAAGACGAGACCUCUACUCGGUGCUCGUCUAGCCGGCGCGCGCGCGAACGUUCCGAGCGGAGAGAGGAGGGAAACCAAGUGCGGUUGCACCUCCUCCUCUCGCUGUGGCGCGUCGUCUCGUGUCGAGUCCCGGAGCUCCUUGCUUUGUUGCGAGAGCGGACCGACCAUCGAGGACGACGACGUACGACGAUCGCGCAGCCGUCGCCUGCGCUUGUUU